rnacentral:rRNA from 2 species
UACACAUGCAGUCGAGCGGAGUUGUGGUGCUUGCACCAUAACUUAGCGGCGGACGGGUGAGUAAUGCUUAGGAAUCUGCCUAUUAGUGGGGGACAACGUUUCGAAAGGAACGCUAAUACCGCAUACGCCCUACGGGGGAAAGCAGGGGAUCUUCGGACCUUGCGCUAAUAGAUGAGCCUAAGUCAGAUUAGCUAGUUGGUGGGGUAAAGGCCUACCAAGGCGACGAUCUGUAGCGGGUCUGAGAGGAUGAUCCGCCACACUGGGACUGAGACACGGCCCAGACUCCUACGGGAGGCAGCAGUGGGGAAUAUUGGACAAUGGGGGGAACCCUGAUCCAGCCAUGCCGCGUGUGUGAAGAAGGCCUUUUGGUUGUAAAGCACUUUAAGCGAGGAGGAGGCUACUAGUACUAAUACUACUGGAUAGUGGACGUUACUCGCAGAAUAAGCACCGGCUAACUCUGUGCCAGCAGCCGCGGUAAUACAGAGGGUGCGAGCGUUAAUCGGAUUUACUGGGCGUAAAGCGUACGUAGGCGGCUUUUUAAGUCGGAUGUGAAAUCCCUGAGCUUAACUUAGGAAUUGCAUUCGAUACUGGGAAGCUAGAGUAUGGGAGAGGAUGGUAGAAUUCCAGGUGUAGCGGUGAAAUGCGUAGAGAUCUGGAGGAAUACCGAUGGCGAAGGCAGCCAUCUGGCCUAAUACUGACGCUGAGGUACGAAAGCAUG